rnacentral:rRNA from 1 species
UACGGAGGGGGCUAGCGUUGUUCGGAAUUACUGGGCGUAAAGCGCACGUAGGCGGCUUUGUAAGUUAGAGGUGAAAGCCCGGAGCUCAACUCCGGAACUGCCUUUAAGACUGCAUCGCUUGAAUCAUGGAGAGGUCAGUGGAAUUCCGAGUGUAGAGGUGAAAUUCGUAGAUAUUCGGAAGAACACCAGUGGCGAAGGCGGCUCACUGGACCGGCAUUGACGCUGAGGUGCGAAAGCGUGGGGAGCAAACAGG